rnacentral:rRNA from 1 species
UACGUAGGGGGCGAGCGUUGUCCGGAUUUAUUGGGCGUAAAGAGCGUGUAGGCGGCUUGGUAGGUCUCGCGUCAAAACCUGAGGCUCAACCUCAGUUCGCGUGGGAAACCACCUAGCUAGAGUCCGGAAGAGGAGAACGGAAUUCCCAGUGUAGCGGUGAAAUGCGCAGAUAUUGGGAAGAACACCAGUGGCGAAGGCGGUUCUCUGGGACGGUACUGACGCUGAGGAGCGAAAGCGUGGGUAGCGAACAGG